rnacentral:rRNA from 1 species
UACGAAGGGGGCUAGCGUUGUUCGGAAUUACUGGGCGUAAAGCGCGCGCAGGCGGUUCUUCAAGUCAGAGGUGAAAGCCCAGAGCUCAACUCUGGAAUGGCCUUUGAGACUAGAGAACUAGGGUACGGGAGAGGUGAGUGGAAUUCCGAGUGUAGAGGUGAAAUUCGUAGAUAUUGGGAAGAACACCGGUGGCGAAGGCGGCCAUCUGGACCGAGACUGACGCUGAGGCGCGAAAGCGUGGGGAGCAAACAGG